UACGUAGGUGGCAAGCGUUGUCCGGAAUUAUUGGGCGUAAAGCGCGCGCAGGCGGCUUCCCAAGUCCCUCUUAAAAGUGCGGGGCUUAACCCCGUGAUGGGAAGGAAACUGGGAAGCUGGAGUAUCGGAGAGGAAAGUGGAAUUCCUAGUGUAGCGGUGAAAUGCGUAGAGAUUAGGAAGAACACCGGUGGCGAAGGCGACUUUCUAGACGAAAACUGACGCUGAGGCGCGAAAGCGUGGGGAGCAAACAGG
rnacentral:rRNA from 1 species